UCUGGUCUGUAACUGACGCUGAGGCUCGAAAGCGUGGGGAGCAAAACAGGAUUUAGAUACCUGGUAGUCCACGCCGUAAACGAUGAGUGCUAAGUGUGGGAGGGUUUUCCGCCCUUCAGUGCUGCAGCUAACGCAUUUAAGCACUCCGCCUGGGGAGUACGACCGCAAGGUUGAAACUCAAAGGAAUUGACGGGGGCCCGCACAAGCGGUGGAGCAUGUGGUUUAAUUUCGAAGCAACGCGAAGAACCUUACCAGGUCUUGACAUCCUUUGACCACUCUAGAGAUAGAGCUUCCCCUUCGGGGGCAAAGUGACAGGUGGUGCAUGGUUGUCGUCAGCUCGUGUCGUGAGAUGUUGGGUUAAGUCCCGCAACGAGCGCAACCCUUAUUGUUAGUUGCCAUCAUUUAGUUGGGCACUCUAGCAAGACUGCCGGUGACAAACCGGAGGAAGGUGGGGAUGACGUCAAAUCAUCAUGCCCCUUAUGACCUGGGCUACACACGUGCUACAAUGGGAAGUACAACGAGUCGCAAAGUCGCGAGGCUAAGCUAAUCUCUUAAAGCUUCUCUCAGUUCGGAUUGUAGGCUGCAACUCGCCUACAUGAAGCCGGAAUCGCUAGUAAUCGCGGAUCAGCACGCCGCGGUGAAUACGUUCCCGGGCCUUGUACACUCC
rnacentral:rRNA from 1 species